rnacentral:lncRNA from 1 species
UUUUUUUUUUUUUUUUUUGGUGAAAGAGGACGAUUAAUAAUUAUUAUAUAACUUAUCUAUUUUAAAUUAGAGGGAGACUUUGUAUUAGGAGCUAAUAGAUACAUAAAUUUUACUAGAUUAAGAGAGUAUUUUAUCUUAAUUUUUAGAAUUUAAUUUACUAUGAAUGGGAUCUAAACCCCCACUAACAGUCCAAACAGGAUUUUAAAACCCAAGCUCAGUGGUUACCGCUUUCUACAGUUGAAAUGUCGAACAAAUUAGCUUAUGGUUCUGAACACUGAACUACGAGAAGAUAAGAGUGUGUUAUCCCUUUGAAAUGUCAACGAAAUCUAACGGCUUAAGGGUCACCAUUUGUCCCGAAGAUGGUUGGCUGAGGAACCCUCUUCACUUCUUUUUUGUUUGGCAUGGAGUCGUUUCGUACGAUACAAUAUGAGCCUAGUGAAAAAAUCUAAAUACAUCAAUAUAUAAUAAAUAUUAAUUUUUUUUCGCAACAGCGACAAUCUACUGCACUACUGAUUUUUUUUUUUAUUGUUUUAUAUGGAAUCUUUUUGUUUCGUAUGGAGUCGUUUCAUAUAAUAUGAGUCUAGUAAGAAAAACUAAAUAAAUCAAUACGUGACAAAUAUAAUUUUUGCUUUUUUGCAAUGGCAACAAUCUAGUGCACUGCUAUACUUCCUUAUCAUUUCAUGCAAUAUGAGCUUAGUAAGAAAUAUCUUGUUCCAAUACAUUUGUCUUUACAGAAAGUAAGCAUGUUUUUGCAAAUAAACCUAAUCCCCACAGUAACUUCAAAAGCCGGCAACUUUUAAAGUCCUGCGAGGGACUUAUCUACCCAAACAUCCCAACCCCCCAACCGAUGUGGGAUAGAAAACCCCACAGGGUGCCCUGCUGCUAAGAGAUAUCUAAAUACAUCAACACAUAACAAAUAUAACUUUUUUUUUUUGAACUACAACAAUUAAGUGCAUUGCUAUACUUCCUUGUGAUGCAUUAAACAGACUAUUAUACUUUUUUAUGAUGCACUAGACAUAAUUUAAAUCUCACACCUAGUGUGCGGGAGAGAUUUAAAGUGGCUCUCCUCGACCAUUGGACCAAUGCCCAAUGGUUACGUAACAACCAUUAACGUGAAGUAUUCAACUGAACGAAGAAAACCUUCUAGUCCAAUUUCUUGAUAUACAUAUCAUUGUAGGCCAAUUGACAAGGACUUGGGUAGUGUUUUCUCUGGCAAUGACCAAAAGCCAUAAAAGAUGUACAGUCCACAUCCAUGAAGGAACCAAGAAAUACAAAUCGGACAUGCCAUCAAGUUGAAGGCACUGAGGCCAUGCCUUUAUGCGCGGCGGGCCGGGGAGCCAAGCUUGGUGGGGGUGAAAAGAUGUUUGUUCUCCCCCCCCGGCGGCGGGGGCGGGUUUUUUGAUUCAUUGGCGUAGUCAAAUUAAUGGCAUUUUCCAUCCUAUAGAAAAAGAUCUUCUUUUUAUUUCUUUAUUUGAAAAAAUAAAAGUAAAAAGUGAUGACAUCUGAAGCUUUAGCCUUUAAGCAUCUUUAAAAAAAAAAAAGGUUUAUUUUAUAGUUGUUUAAAGCGAAAAUUGAGAACUGCAAAAACAAAUUCUAUAGGAGAAAAAGUGCUCCUACAAUGGAAAAUUAGUGAGGGCAAUUCUGCUUGCAUCCUUUAAAGUUUGUACAACUACAAAAGUCUACUUUGUGUUACCAAUUACUACGUUGAAAUCCCCUAUUAUUUGUUUGACAUUAUGGUUAAAAAAGUAAUGGAUAUAUUUUCGCUGGAAUUACGUUGUGUCAAGAUAAUCUUGAAGCGCAACAGAUCUUCUGUCUCACAUCCUGUGUCACUCUCUGUCCCACUUUUUAUUAUAUUGUUAUCUCUCCUUCAUAAACAGCAUGUUUUAAUUCUUUUUUAUUUUCUUAAAAUCCAAUAACUAUUAAUUCAGUAAUACACAAAAUUUAACAAAUUCAAAAAAUAAAAUGCAUAAAAAAUGAGAUUUUUUAUGAAUUUUCUGCUGUAUUUUUAAUUUUCUAUUAUAUAUUACUUUUUUUAAGCUGUUGUAUUUAUUUUUUACUGAAUUAAUAAUUAUUGGAUCUUAAGGAAACAAAAAAAGAAUUAAAACAUACUGUUUAUGAAGGAGAAAUAGUAAUAUAAUAAAAAAUGAGACAGAGAGUGACACAGAAUGUAGGACAGAAGAUCCGUUGCUAUCUUGAAGUAAUGGAACAUCUUAAGAUAAGAUAUAUCAACAUGGAGAAGAAGGCUUAGAAAAAUGGAGCUUCAAAAAUUCGGAGGAAUUGUUACCAUUAAACACGUACAGAGGAAUUAAAUACGCCAUUAGCUAUCAAAACUGGCUUUUGGGGUACGAUCAAAAGGUUUCCUUUCCAAUAGAAACUCGACGCUCUUCUUCCCCGGGGUCCACCUCUCUAUGCAGAUGGCAAUUGAGGAAACUGCCAACACCUUCCAAUCAGAAUCAAGGCAUAUUUUUACUUUGUAGAGAAUUUUAGAAAAAAAAAGGUGUAUCAGGUGGAAUAAUUCACCCACUAUUUAUUUCCCAUAAAAGAAAGACAAGAAGAGGCCGUUCACAUCUAUUUCCUAAUCAUCUCCAACCAACCCAAGUCAAGAUGAAAUUAUUUUUGGAGAUCCAUAUGUAUAUAUUUAUGCUGCUCUCUUUUUGGCAAAAAAGGAAAGAUUACACCAAUUAUUUCUCACAUAUUGUUGAUGAUAAAUUUAGUUCAUCAAAUUCAAAAUGACCAAUUUUAGUUCCUAAUAAAUAAAACUCACAUAUUUUUUACGUGGUCAGUAUUUAAAAGGCAACUCUGAUAACUCACUUAAUGUUAACUUAAAAUUUUCACUUAAUCUACUAUUUCUCCUAAUUUUUCUUCACUCAAACCCUUAUUUCACAAAUCCAAAAAUAUAUACACACACCUCCCACUCUUACCAUCAUCUUCCCCACUAUUCCCAUUUUCACUUACUGUCACCUUUGACCUCUUCUCACUCCUUUCUUGCCACCGCUUUCUCUUCUACCUCUCUCUUCCUUAGUUUUCUCCUACUUCUCCCUGCUCAUUUUUCUCUAACCACCACUCAUCCUGCCACCUCUUCUUAUUUUCUUCCCUCCUCUUUCUUUCCUACUCUCUCCUCCUUUACUUUCCCAUUAUUCCUUGCUUUCUCUUUUCUUCUUUCUCUUCUUCUUCUUAACUUUUGUCUCUCCAUACUCCCCUUUUCCCCAACGAUUUGGUUGUGUUGCAAAUAAGGGAAAAAGAGAGGCACCAGAGAAGGAGAAAGGGGAAAAAAGAGUGGCAAGGAAAAAAAAAUGAGACAAAAGAAUGAUAAAGUGGGAGAAGAAGAGAAGAAUAGAGGGAGAAAAAAAAUAGGUGAUAGGAGAAGGAGUGAAAGAGAAUCAAGAGUGCUGAUGGAAGUAAAACGGUGGUGAAAGAUGAAAAUGGAUGUGUGUAUUUUCAGGUUUGUGAAAUUAGGGUUUAGAUGGAGAAGAAUUUAGAAAAAUGAUAGAUUAAGGUUCCGUUUGAUAAAACUGAAUCUGAAUUCUGAAGUCUGCAUCCUGAAAUCUGAAAUCUGAAUACUAAAACAAUUAAUUUGCUGAAUUUUAAGCACUGAAAAAAAUAUAUGAAUGUCUGAAUUUUAAUGCUAAACCUAUUUAUACUGUUUGAUAAAUAUUUAUAGCUGAAUGCUUAAUAAGUUUAAUUUGACAAUUUUGCCCUUAUAUCCUUUCAUUCAAAAAAGAAAUAGAAUCUAUGAUUUAAUUAGUUUAAAAGUAUUAGGUAUGAAAAUGAUAAUAUUUAUUUUUAAAUCAAAUUAAUAUAAAAGAUGAAAUAUAUUAUAUGAGGAGUAUGGAGAAGAUGUGAAAGUCAUUAAAAAGAGAGAAAAGGAAAACUAAAAAUCGUUAGAUAAAGAAUAUUAUGUUGUUUAAUUAGAUGAGAAUUUUGAACAUAAUUAACAAACAAAGAUAGAUUUGGUAGAUAAGAUAAUAUAGUUAAAAUAAUUCUAUUGAUUUUUAUCAGAAUUAAGCAUUCAAUUAGGAUUCCUGUACUGAAAAAAAUACACACAGGUUCAGCACUGCUUAACAAGUUCAGCAAAUAGAUUUUCAUUUAUCAAACACUCAAAACAUCUGAAUGUCUGAAAAAAUUCAGAUUCAGCACUUUUUUAUGUUAUGAAACAGACCAUAAGUCAGCAAUUGUAUUAAGUAAAUUGUCUGAUUUGGCAUUUAAAUAUUGACCAUGUGAAAUGUUCUAACUUAUUUCGGCCAAAAUUUGACUUGAAAGGCAACAAAAGACCAAAAAAAGUAUUUUAGUCCUAACAAAUAAAAAAUACUUUUUUUAAUUCCCUAUAGAAAAUUUUGGUAAAUUUUCUAUAGGGAUCACUAAUACGACGAAAAUAAAAUAAAGAAUGGUUUGGUUAACAGGUGCCUAAUGAGCCGCCGUUAAGAGGGGUCUUAAGUAUUACUUUCUAGAGGGGUUUCAAGUAUUAGUUCUUUAGAUAAAUUUAGAGGUUUUUGUUUAAUGAUUAAGAUUGAAACUUUAGAAUUUAAAGGUUCUUUGAUAAUGUUAUAGGUGUCAAACAAAUCUAUUUAACUAAAUUUAUUCAUAUUCGUCCAUGAAUAGAUGGGUAUGGAUAUUUUAAAUUUUUAUAUAUGGGUAUAAAUAUGUUAUCCAAUAAUACCCAUUUAAUAAAUGGGUAUAAUACCCAAUAAUACCCAAAACCUUAAACUCAUUUAAUAAAUGGGUAUAAUUGAGUAACCAACCAAAUAUAAUUAACCCAUUUAGAAUUAUUUUUACAAUCACAUCUAUUUAGAAUUGUCUUCAGCAAUAAUAUCCUAAUUUCUUUAUCACCUUUGACCAAAGGUAGCAUCAAAAAGUGGAGAACCAAACGGAAAGGUGGGAGAAUAUGUUGGCCAAUUUUUAACUUAAAGAAUAACUAUGCACUUGGAGAUUUUUCUGUCCUGUUUUCAUUUGUAUUUUCCUAGUAUCCAGUUUCAAGUUCAUAAGUUGGUCAAUCACUGUUUAAUCUAUCUUUUUCAUGGUUCCAAAUCCUUUCCCUAUUGCAAAACAAAAAUAUUCUUAUUAUUCAAUUAUUAAAUAGUAUGUAAUUUUGUCACAUAGCACAUAGAUGGGGAAAAAAGUUGGUAAUUAGAUUUAUCGGGCAUUAUAAGUAAAUAUUUUAAAAUUAAUGAUGGGUACAAACUGCAAAUGGUGGUAUCAAUUGAUAAUUUAGUGUAUAAAAUAAAUUUAGAUGAGUUUGUAAAAAGUUAAAAUAAAUGGAUUGUAAAUGAAUAAUUGGAUUACUAACUCAUUUUUUGACUUAUUCACUUAUAUCCAUCUAAUUAAAUGAGUAUAAAUGGAUUGACUCACUUAUAUCCAUUACCCAUUUUAACCCGUCCAUGUUACCCAUUUUAAUUAAUAAUCAGCUCUCUUUUUCUCACCUUUUUUGGUUCCUUGCGUACCAAAUUUGGAAGACAAAAGGAGAAUCAAAAAGGAAAAUGGAAAAGCUCAAGAAUACAAACCAAUGCUAGAAAGUUUCUUCUUGAAGUUAUGGGUCAAAUUUGGUUCCUUCUUAGCCUCAAUCACCUGGAUCAUUGUCGGCUUUACACUUUGCUGAACAACCGGAUGGCACUCAGAAAUCAGUAAACUCUCGAAGCAUCGGAUGCCCAUACAAAGGUAAGCAAGUGAUUCGGAUCCCAUAUUCCUUUGGAUAAAAUAUCAAUUAACAUAGCAAAACUUAUUUGGUUAAGGCUCCGAUUUAUAUCAAUUUCGAGCCCCCCAACGAAAAGGGUAACACACUCAAGUCAAUUCGGAGACGGCAAUUAUCGGAUGGAAGAGAAGACAAUUACGUCAACUCCCCGUUAAUAUCAUCAAUCCAUAGAUUCAAAGUCUUCGAAGUCGCCGUUUUACGACCGACAUUGCCGUUCCCAUAAUCCGGACAACCGCGUUUAAGAGUCCGAAGCCAGAUAAAUCCCAAAAGCCAGUCAACCAUUUUUGUCUUUUCAAGCACAGGGUACUAAGUUUAACUUAUUAUCCAGAUUAACCUCGGCCGCCCCGGCCACACCAAAAACCGAAAAAAAAAAUAUUAUAAUAAUUAGGAGAUUUUUAAUUGAACUACAUGGACAAGAUAUUAGACACCAAGUUUAUUGGACAUAGACAUGUAUACGUUGGCCAAACAAAUACUCCAAACGAUCAGCAACUUCGAAAGAAAAAAGAGGAAAAAGAAGUAAUAUGUUCUUUUAAUGCACUGAACGUGACAUUUGAUGGCAGCUAAUCUACAAGUAUAAAGAUUUUUCCUACUGCUAAUUUGGUGUGAAAAUUCAAGCAUUGGCCCCCAACCGAAAAAAAAAAAUGGUGGUGUAGUUUUAUUCCAAUCAUCCACCCACUUACAAAAUCAAAAGAAAGACUACACUUGAGACUGCUAAUACCAACGUUUUGGACCCAAACCUCCUUCCACCUUGGAUUUCCUGAAACAUUGCACGUCAUCAAAUUUAAUAUUGAUAGGAGGAUAAACUAUGAAUCAAUCAAAACUAUAGAAACAUGACAAGGACUUAAAAAAUCUCUUGCUCAAGUCUCUGGCUGACGGAGGGAAAAAAGAAAAAGAAAAAGAAAAAGCCCAUCACUUUGAACCAAACAUUGAAUUGUAUAGCAUAUGCUGGUGAUACCCAAGAACUGAAAACGCAGAAAGAAACAUUUGAAAACAUAACCCUUUAUCUUGCUAAGAUGAAUUGAGACAAGUUGCCCAAAUGAUAAUUUUUCAUGCUACUUUUAAAAAAUUAGAGCUGCAUAAUCUUUUCUCCAACGCCAGGCGAAAGCUGUGGCUUAUAAUGUCAGUGAGAGAGUAGGACACUGAAUUGACAGUUCGAGAAGUCAAGAACAACACAAACUCAAGACGACAAUGAGUAACAAUUUUACCUCCAUUUCACAUGCAUCUGCAUAAACUAGAGGAUUCCAGGAAACAACAAAAAAUUUUGCCUUUCCAGUUAAAUUGAGGUAAUGUUUAACUCAAGAAUUGACUAAAAUGACCGGGAGUUCGUAAAACAUUAAGCUAAAAGCAGAUUACACAAUAAUUAGGUUGGUAGAUAGACAAAAAUCCAUGGCUGGGUCAUAUAUCUGCCAUGCUCCCAUGCCUUGGCCCCACACAUUAUAACAUUUAGACAAUUUAGAUUAUCAUAAAUUAUCUGAAGAACUCAGUUAUUUUGGGUGGUCAAGUAUAGAAGUUAGAGGUGAGGAAGUAUUUAGACAAUUUAGAUUAUGAUAACACCUCAGUCUUCAAGAAGCCUACCAGUACCAUCCAGCAAGCCCCUUUUCAUUUGCACAUACUUUCAAUCAAUAGACCUCCAAAAGGGGAUAGUGUUGCAAAAGUGUUCUACUUAAGGUUCAGCAUAUUACAAGUUAGCAUAGUAUUGAACAACAUGAUUAUUACGAAAUUGUUCAAGACCUUUUGAUCAGAAUUAAGUAGGUAUAUGAGAUAUCAAAAGAGUAUUGCUUACUCAUUACAAAAUUUAGUUAUGCAUUCAUGAAAAGAGGAAGUCAACGUCAACAUUGAGAACACUUGUCAAUAGGAAUUUUCUUUUUGCAAGGAUUUACAAAAAGUUCAACUCAUUAUAUCUGUAAAAAAAUGUAGGAACUGAAACCUUAAAAGACAAACCUUCAAAAUCCAUAAUUGAUUAUUCUUUCAAAUUAAACUUUGUGCAAAAUCACAUACUAAUAUUUAUAAAAGGUGCCAUCAACAUAUAAGCUCAUGAGAAUGAGAUGGUCGAGCAUAAGAAGUAUAAAAGACAGUUUGGUGGUGCUUUGAAUGAUAUCCAUUUUCAGGGAUUCAAAAAUUUACAAGACUUUCAAACUCAGAGGAUAUUGUUUGACAGAAUCACCUGAAAAAAAACAUAUCCUAAGAAUCUUUAACUCUAGCCCAUGAAUUCUUGCAAAAAUUGCUUACAAUAACAUAUCAGACAAUAGCACCUAAAAAUUAACAUACUUCCUAGAUCCAGGAUAGGUUAGCAAACAUGAUUUAUUACACACUGAAUUUGCUAAGCUAAAAAAGAUGUUAUUCAAGGCUAACUCCUUCGUUCCUAGGCUUCAACAUCUUUUCUAGAAAACACCAGCCCCAUACCCUAACCCCAUACCUAAGAAUGAUCUUCUUAUCCAAAAUAGAAGCGAUAUAGUCUGUCAGAGCCAUAGCAUUUAGGUCAUCCUCUGAUUGCAUAUUUCUGUUGAAAUGUUUGUAAAUGGAAAUUUUAAAAGACACAGUAUGCUGAUAUCUCAGAGGAGAAAGACAAUUUUUUCUGUUCAAAGAUUUCAGAGUUGCAUAGCAAAAGAUGCACACUUCGCCAUACAAACUGUUUUCAUGUUAUAGAGAAAACUGUUCCAAGACACUAUAGGGGCAUAGAAGUGGCUCCUUUGGUUCUUGCCCAAUUAAUGAUUUCCAGAAUUUGAAAGCAUAACAGGUGAUUUCCUUUCCUACAAGUGUUUUUAUCAAUAGAGAAAGGAUAUUUUUGCAAUUUCACAAUCUCUAAGAGAGUAAUAGGUAGUGUGGAAUCGCAGGGAUGCUGUUUUGUGAAAAGGUCAAAAUCUUUUUAGACAUCUUGAGAACUCAUAAGGGUAGAGAUUCUGCAAGCCAACAGUUGUUAUUACGUACUAGACUGGUUAAGAAAUGGUCAAGAAAUACCAGACCGGUAAAUAAAUGGUCAAGAAUGAUUUGAACUUCAGCACAUAUGUUAUCCUCAAACUCCUGAAUGCCUGAUUAGACAACCAAUAAGGGAGCUGGGUCUUCGUCCAACAAGCUUCUGCACCUCUGAAGUUAAAACGACCUACUAUCUUCAGUGCCCCAAGAAAAGCUAGAUCCCAUCUUCAUACUACUCCUUUAUUACCAUCAAUUGUUUCAUCAAACAAUUUCAAAGUUUUUACCCCAAUUCCGCAAAAAGGAUAUGCUAUGAGUGUAACUAUCAUAAUCCUAAAGAUAAUAAUUAAACAAAAUCCAAAGAAUUAUGUCAAAGUUUACAGAGAACACCUGAGAGGAGGCAAAGUUCAAGAGGUAUAGCCGAUAACUAAUCACAAUAAAGGCAUAUGAGGAUACCUUCAAAGAAACUGCAGAUGAAGAUUUAAGUCCAGGAAACCCAAUGUCAUAUGAAAUGCUCAUGUCAGGUUUGUAUAGUCCAUAGUUCUUCUCAGAAGUUGCACCAGGCUUUUGAUCUUCAUUAAACAACGCAAAAAUAUAUGCUUUCAACACAGAUUUUGGCCUCAAAGGUGUUCCCUUCUUCUUAGCAAGCCUUUUCCGCAAAUUAUAAUUGUAUGUCCUAGCAUUGUUUUGUGUGGCAGCGGGCUCAUUCUGGUCCCCUUGAGAAGCCCAUCCUGUCUCUGUAAUUAUAACUUCCAUCUUUUUAUACCCAGCAUCUUCUAAAGCAGCAUAAGCUGCAUCUAUCUGAGCAUCAAGCAAAUUAUCAUAAUGAAGGUUGGUUUUCUGAUCGUAUAUACCCUCAUUUGGCUGAAAGAGGGCAUAGUUUACAUCAAUUUUGUCCGAGGCAUAGGUGUAAGCCAGAAAGGGGUAAGCAUUUAGACAAAAAGGGGACUUGAUUUGAGAAAAAAAGUCCAAGAGCGGCUUCAUAUAUUGAGAAACACCCUCUUUGAAAGUACAGUUGGAAGGAGGGAAUGAAUUGUCGAAAACACCCGAAAAAUGAGCAGUGGAGAUCUGAACAAUAUCAUCUAUCCCCAACUUUUGGGUUGCAUUAUGGAGAUUUUUAACUGCACCCAGUAAAGAUCCCCAAAGAUCGGAAUUAGCACCAUUUCCCAGAAUUUCGUUACCAACAGCAAUCCCAACAAUACGCGUAUCAGGAAGAAAUGCCUUCACAUUAUCUUUGACCCAAGUCAAUGCAUGAUCUACGUUAGUACUCAUUUCCUUCACAUGGUCAUUAGGAAGUCCAAUUAUUAACUCAAGUCCAGUGCCACUAAAGCCCUGGAGAACACUAUGAUCCGCAUCAUAAAUUCUGACAUUCUUUAUCUUUGCUGCCCUAAGGAGUUUAGCAACUUCGUCUGGUGGAGGAAGGUUAUCUGCAAUUCUCCCGUAAUUGAUUCCAUAAGUUCCCGUGAAUGCUCUCACUGUGAGCUUUGCUGAAAUGAAAAACAAAGGAAACAGUUGUAACCAAGAAAGAAAACUGUCCGUGACACCAUGAACCUGAAUAGUUUGAAUACAAACUCAUACAUUUGCAAAGGCUUCGUCUUUCAACCCAGGAUACAGUCAGCAACAAACACAGAUUUAAAUUAGACCAAUGGCCAACAAAAGUUUACACAUAAUUAUAUAAGAUCUUUAAUCAAAUCGAACCAUAUUAUUACCCCCCCCCCCAAGUCUCAAUACUAGUUACCAUUUCAACGGAGUCAAAUGGCGCUCACACAACACACACAUUCCCAUAGGCCACCAAUGUCGCAAUUAGAUAGUUGUGGCACAAGAGUAGCAUAUGAAGAGUAAAUAUACUGCCCAAUCAACUGCUGAUAUCUUCUUAAGCGCACAGCUCAUAACAUGUGAAUCUAAAUUACGAGUGCCAUGCAGACAAUUUAGAACUUCAAAAUCAAUUGAAAGUUACAGACUUAAGUCGUACAAACAAAAAAUAAAUGAGAAGAAGAAGCAGCCAACUGAUGAAAUUUCACCAAGAAUAAAAACCAAUUUCCAAUUUAAAAAUGAAGAGAUUGGGAAAAGCAAACGAAAAAGAGUACUUAGUUUUCACCAGCAGCACCAGCAGGAUGGAAAAAAAAUACUGUUCUUUGGACUGAUCUUUAACAAUUAGAAAUCAGAAAAAAGCAGAAGCAGAAAUCAAGAAUAAGAAAAGCUGUAAUCAAGAACAACUGAAGCGUACCAUUACCGGUGAAAAGGUUGAAGGCCAAGAGCAGAGAAAUGAACCGCACGCAAAAUUGAAGGAUCCUCAUUGAGAUACGUAACCAAGAAACCCCAAUAGGACGUCCCCGCUGUUGUUGUCUUGUCCUGCUGGUGCUACUGAUGUUCUUUCAAUUGAACAAUCCUUCCUCCUACUACUCAACCAUGCCAUUAACCCACUACCAAAAUUUCCUUCCUUUUCUAAUUUUCGCUUUUCUUGACAAGCAGUAAUAGUAUGGUGGCGCCAUCAAUAAUCAGUGCCGACCUUUUUUCUUAGCUCCAUCUUGUCUUGUCUUUUGGUUAGCUUUUCAACCAGACCCUUUUCACAUCCAACAAUAACUAAAAAAUAAAUCAGAUACUCCCAGAAAUAGUAGACUGAGCGGCGGCGGCGGUGGCGGUGGCGACGGGCGGCAGAGGGACACGGUGAUGGGUUUAGGGGUGGCUUUCUUUUCUCUAGUCUCGGCUGUUACUUUAAAUAAUUUUGGGUUUAAUAACUGAAUUUAAGUCGUGUCUACUCUCUGUAUUUGGAAUUUUGGUUGUGCUUUUUUCUUUUUGGUGAUUGUAGCUUGAUAAUGGAGAUUGUUGAGGCUGUGCCAGAACAGUAGAAUAGACUUACUAUUUGAAUAUGUGAACUGUCUGUGCGAAAAAGACUACUAAAACGCUGAUUCAAAACGAAAGAAAGGAAGACCAGUCCAGUCGAACUAUGUAUCCGUCUUGCCAUUUUUUUUAAUUAUAUAUUAUCCUUCAAGUGGCCACCACGCCCUUCCCACAAAGUCAUGUUGACAAGGCCCACUUUUGUUACUUUUUUGUUUUCCUCGUUUUUUAGAGACAAAUAUACUCUUUUCAAGGGAAUAAAAUUCGGUGUUUUGAGGAGGAGAACUAAUGGGAUUCUUUUAAUAUGAUUAUUAGCAAGUCACCCUUGGAAAAAUCAUUUGAAAUAAUAUAGCACUUUUUAUGAGAUCCUUAUAUUAUAUAAGAUUGAUUUUUGGUCAAAGAAUAGGUUGAAUUUCAACCGUAUAGGUGGGGGCUUUCUAGGAAUGUGAAAUGUUGUGUAUUAGUUUAAAAGUUUUAGGUACAAGUUAAGAAAGUAUAUAUUUGGGUAUGUUUACUGAAAUAAUCCCAUUUUAAUACAUUUAAAGUUGUCAUUAAUGAGCCAUCUGGGUAUUGAUGGAAUGUGUAAUUAGUGUACAACCGUUUUUGCAUUUUGUACAACUCAUAUAUGCUUGUAUGUUGGUGUAAUUACCGGAAUAUCUCUUAACUAUCAAUAAUUUCCCUUUUCAGUCGCAGAUAACCGUUUGAGAUGUUGCUUUAUCUGAAACGUUUGAAUGACAAUCGGAUUUAGGAAAUGAGUCAACGAUUUCUCUAUCAAUGGUAGGAACUCAUUUCUCUAUCAUUUAUAAUCUGCAUUUAUGAGCCACAAACGUUGGUCAGUUUAUCAUUUUUCAGCUUCAGGAGUUAAGUUUUCCCUUUUUGCCUUUGUCUAUAACGAUUUGUCUCAUCGUUUUCUCUUCCAUUCGAGCUCAACUCUAAAAUUACUUAUUAUUUCAUCAUUAAUUACACCCAAUUCAAUUGUCAAACCAUUGGUAUGUUAAUGCUUAAACGGUUGAUUAUCAGUUUCUCCCUGUUCGCAUUCUAGAAUUGAAAAAAUUCUACCUGGUUUCAUACUAAUCAGCUCAGAAUGCUCUUCAACCCCAACUACUCCUAUUGGAUCAGCAUGAGGUUAGAUUUCACCCCCCCAAUUUUUCAGUUCCUCCAUUAAUUUUUGUCGGUGUGUUCUUAGUACAUACAAUUAGCGACUCUUAUCGCGUUGCCUAGUUGCAAGAUAGCAUUUUUCGCGUUGCCUAACCCCAAUUAGUCUGGAUUGAUUAUAAUCUUAUAGAUUUGGAAAAACAGCAAUAAAGAUCUCUCGGUGGGGAUUCUAGAAUAAGGUUAGCUUUCUGUGUUGCUUCGCCUUUCUGCAUUAUCAACGACCUUCAAUUUCACAUAGUUUUAUUGUAAUGCUGUGUGAAUUGAUUGAUUAUAUCGUUUAUCUUUUCAUACUAAGUUUUAUUUCUUCUCACAAUGUACUAUUGUUUGUUCAACAAAAAAACCAUAUUGAGUUUGUUUGUGCUGACUUGGGGAACCAAAAUCAGAGUAGAUAUCAUGGAAAUCACUUAUUAAUUGCAGACCGUAAAUGGAAGGCACCAAACACCCGCGCGUUGUGCGGACACUCCCCCUAGUUAUGUCUAUGAAAUAAUAAGAAGGUAUGCAUUUAUAAUGCAACUAAAUAAUGUUUUUUGCAAAUAAUUCUUGAUCCAAACACACUUAUAAAUUAUAACUGGCCAUUAUUAUAGGUAAUAACUCACAAAUAGUAGAAUGAAAACUAACAUGUAGUUAUUAGAAUACACUUAUAUUUAAUUAUUGAAAUAGAAUGAAAUCACGCCUCUUGUCCAAGUAAAAUAAUAAUUGGCAUGUAUGGAUAGGAGAUUAAUUGUCCAAGCAAUAUUUUUUGUGAUAUAAUAUAUAUGAGAUAAAAAAGACAUUUAAAAAUAUAAAAAAAAGUUAGUUAAAAAUAUGUUAAUGAUGCAAAUUAAAUAAUAGGAUUAAUUGUAAUUUAUCUCCUUAACAUUUAUUUUAUGUUACUUAACCUCCUGAGAGACAAAAUAUCCCUCUACUAAAUAAUUUUUUCUCUUAUUUUGUACAGCUUUUUCUCUUUUUUUAUUUCAAAUUGGUUUUAUUUUAUCAAAAUUUUAUUUCUAAGAAAAUAAUAAAUUUCUCUAAUAAAAAAAUUUAGGAUGAAAAUUAUCUAAUUUACCGACUGAAAAAUUAUAUAUAUAUAUUACAUAUCAAUUUAAUCUAUUUUCCAAUUUAAGAAAAUUUUUUAUUCUAUUUCCUUAUAAUUACACUAUACACAGUUAAUUAUCCACUUUUACAAUCUCACAUUCACUUGUCAACGCUAGACUUUUUUUCCUAUAAUGAGUUUUUUAAUUAAAAUCUCAUUUUUUGGCCUUUUUAAAAAAAUAAUCAAUUGAUAGUGUAUUUCCUAAUAUAUGCACUGAUCUUAUGCAAAACUUUACCCACCAUCAAUUAAAGUCGUCAUGUGAGAACCCGUAUUUUUUUUCCAUUUUUUAGGUUUUAUUCUUUUUCAUGGCUUGUUUUCUGCAUUUUCGUGAGUAGGAAAAAUUCUAGAUAUUUUUAAGGAGCAGAUAUAGUUUUUAGAUGAUUUUUCUAGUAUCGAAUAGGUUUUACGAAAUUAAGAGCGUAUACCGGACGUGGGACCCACUAGUGCAAAAAGUUCAGAAAAAUUAGAUCAACUAGGUUAAGUUUUGGAUACUGAAAUUAAUUUAUCGGGUGUUAAGAGAUAAUUAGAGGAGUCCAAGUGGAUUGGUAUAAGAAAGACAAGUUAGGUAAGCAUUUAAUAAAGGUGACAAGUGUCACCAUUUGAGUGGGUUUAAUUUAGAAAAACUAUUCAUGGUCUUACCAUUUGACUUAAAUAAACCAAAAAUGACCAAAAAUCAUCAAAAAUCCUCCAUAAGUGGCCGGCUCUCUCUUUCUCUCUCUCUUACUCUAAGCACAAGGAAGAAAACUCUUCAAGUUUGCUCCAAAUCAUCAAAACCAACCAUUGAAACUUGCAAUUUCUCCAUAAAACCUCUUCAAUUAGUGUUUGUGAGAUGUUGUGUGGAGUUAUUUGGGAAGCUAGGAUGACCUAUUGCUCUCUCUCUCUCUUGUUUCUAAGGUGAGUUGUGAAGAACCACCCUCAUCCCUUAAUUGAUGCUUAAAUCAUGAUUAGUGGUAGUAUGAGAUGCAAUAUUAUGGAUUAUUUCUUGAUUUGUGGUUGAAGUGAUGAAGUUUUAUUAUUUUUGGGGAUUUUUCUGUUUUACUAUGAACAUGAUUGUGUGGCUAUCUAUGAUGAUUGGAAAUGGUAUAUAAUGACUCUAGGAGGUGGAAAAAGUGAUUAAUUGUAACCAAUUUCUGGUUUGGAAGAAAUUUCAGAAAAUUAGGGUUUUAGUGGGAACAUUCUGUCCGAAUUUAUAGCUCCUAGUUAGAGGCCGAAUUGGCUUUGGUUUAAAACAUAAAAGUUGUAGGGAAUGACAUUUUAGAGGUGUCUACAAAAUUUCAGGUCAAUCGGAGUAGUGUAGAAUGAGAAAAGUUGAAUUACUAUUGCUGUUCUGGUUUUACCCGAAUGUAAGAAUUGCGCCUGUAAUUGGUUGUUUUGGCUGGAAUUGCUUCCGAAUUGAUUGUUGAGGCCUUCUGAUGAAAUGUAGCCCUGUAUCUUAGAUUUCAGCUGGUUUUGGAAUUUCUGGAUUUGGACUUGGAGAGCCUGAGUUAUGAUGUUUCCGCUAGAAUGCGUUCUGUGAAUCUAUUUUACGGUUUUGGUGUAGUAUCUUGCAUUUUUGACAUGGUUACACUCAAAACUGGGUUGAGUGACCUUCUGUGAUGUUGUAGCCCUGUCUUUUAGCUUCGAAUCGGUGUAUCGUACACCUUCAUCCGAUAAUCAUAGUGAAAUUGGUGUCAUUACCGUAAAACGAGGUCAAAAACUAUUUUUUUCAGGGCCAAAGCUAAUUGCAUUUCCAAAUUUUCGGGUUUCCUCUAAUGUUUGGGGUCAUGUUUGGCCUUGGUUUAUGACUCGUUAUCGAGUCUCAUUAUACUUGUUUGCAUGUUUUAGGGCGUGACGGUGGUGUACAACGUUCUUUUGACGGAAGUGCAUGAAACCACAUUUGCGAGCUUGGUGAGUGUACUACUCACUUGUGUGUUACUAUAUGGCUUUGAAUGUAAAUUGCUUGAAGUGAAUUGAAUGUGACUUGAUUGAAGUGAAAGUGUACUUUAUCACUCUCACUUAUAUGCCUUAUAUCAUUGUUGUCAUGUUAUUGUAAUGUUACAUGAAAUGUUACAUGAAAUGAAAGUACUUGACUUGGUGUCGAUUGGACGAGUAUCCAACGACUACAAAUGUUAUCAUUGAGCUCAACUCCAUUAGUAGUUGAUUGAAUCGAGCCGGCGAGAGCUUGGUCGUGCCAAUUAAUGAACCUUGGGUAAAGUUAUAUGGAAUCUUGUAGUAUGCGAGACUCUCGAUUCCGGUAUACUCGAGUAAUACCAAAGUGCAAGUGUUUGGAUUUCGGGCCCGGUAGGGGGAUGUUAGGUGGAAGGAGUGGAAGUAAAGUGGAGUCUACGGUUGGUUACUUUUGAACAUUGACGGAGAGUCAAUGACGUCCGAUCAAGAAAUGCAAACGAGGAAAGGGCUCUUGAGAGCCAUCUGUAUCAUUUUAUCACCAUAUUUGACGUGUGCCUUUGCUUAAUUUUACUAUAUUGAAUGAAAGCUUGAUGCUUAUAUGCACUUGGUAGCGUAAGUGAUAGUAUCUCACUGGGCAAUUAGCUCACACCGUUCCUUUUGUUUUCCUUACAGGAAUAUGACUCUUUUUGGAAUGAAUCUUGAUAGAUGGUUGCCGAAUGAACUAGAUGUAUUUUGUAUUGUAUAUGAAGUGAAACCCUAAAUGUAUCUUUAGGGCCGUUUUCACUUUCAAUUUGGCAAACCGUAUAUAUAUUAACUUUUGAAAACUUUUGUAUGCCACUUUGGGUUGUAAUUGCUAAAGUUCAAGAUGUGAAUGUUUGCUUGCUAUUUGGUUGGAUUCUGACGGGUCGGUUACUAUUCAUGACCGACUCCUGAUUUAUUUUUUUUAUUUAGGGUUAUUUUGCCAUUUUGACUCGUUUACGCGCGUUUGUAAGUUCCGGAACGCGAUAGACAGCUCUAAACUGCACCGUUAGUCCUGGCGAGAGUUGGGCAGGCAGUCCGCUAACCCCUUUGGUUCGCCGUAGGGGAAGAUGGGGCUGUCACACGUCAAAACUAUAUCGUAGGUUAAAAUUUGAUGAUUAAAGGAAGUAGAUAGUUUGAAAAUUAAAAUUUAGCAUAAUAGAGAGGUAUUUUUGUCUUUUAGGAGUUUAAGUGAUCAUUAAAAAAGGUUAGGGGGUAAAGUGAAAGUUAAGGUAAAUCUUGAGGGGAUAAAUUGUUAUUAAUCCUAAAUAAUAUUAGAAAAAAAUCCAUACUCCUUGAACAAAAUAAAGAGCAGGAUGAAGAAACAAACACCCCACCUAUUAGCACAUGAAAUCUGAUAAACUACUCAAAUCUAAUCAAUCGAAAAGAUGAUGGAAUGUGUCAAUACCCCCGCGUGAAUGGUCCAGCGGUAGCACCUCCAACCGGUGACCCCUAGGUCCCAGGUUCGAGUCUCUGCUCUGCUGGAUUUCUCGGCGUACAUAUCGUGCUUGGGCCGGGCUGGGGCGCCGGGCCCGGACCGCAGGGGAUUAGUCGGGCCCUGUAAGGAUUAACCUAGACACCCCUAUGUCGACAAAAAAAAAAAAAAAUGAUGGAAUGUGUCAAAGUUUAUAGAUGAUCCAUAGUGGAACUUGUUCGCUCAAUAGUAGGCUACAUUUUCCUCGAUUACUACCGUUUUUUUUCGGUUUGAUCGGGGAGAAUAAAGAUUUUACUUUAGCUUGACCUUAUACUAGUACGUAAGAUUUAUGUUUUUUUUAGGGGAAAAUGUUUAUGUUUAAAAAAGAAAAGAAACAAAAAAAGCUAUUGCCAAACAAAUCCAAGCUCAAUUGAUUUACUUUAUGGAGCCCAACCAUCCACAGUCAAGUUGUGAGGACUGCAAUCAACCCUUUUUAAAUUUUAAUCAUUAGUCAUUGGACGAUUUGUAGAGUUCCUUAGGAGCUACGACAAACACAACGACUCCCCACUUUCCAUGGCGUAAUAAUAAACGCGACAGUGGUGACAGACACAAAUCCGAACCUCUAUAACUGGUUUGUAAAACUAUUUUUAUUAUUAUAUUUAGUAUAAGUUUAUAUAAUUUUAAUUGAAUGGUGAAUUGUAAUUAUAUGAUUUAUAAAUUUAAGCUUAUACCUAAAUUAUAUGAACUUUUAUAAAAUUUUAUAAGAAUUAUGACAAUUAAUUUUGAAUCGGAGAAAAUUCAAGUUACACAACUAGAGAGGCAUACUGUGUAUCUUUAAGACAAGACUUUAUACAGUUUUAGGAAAUUUGUCUGAUUGAAAGGCUGAAAAGGAGCCCUCACGAGUAGCUCGAGCGGGACUGGUAAGUUCAUUUUUACGUAAGAUCCUGUGUUCGACCCCGUUGUAUUAAAAUUGCUGGAAACCUUGGAUAGGGCUCUACUGAAAAUUAGUCUGGACAAAAAAAGUUGGAACACACCCUAAGUGAAAAAAAAAAAGGGCUGAAAAGGGUAUAAUACUACUAAUGAGACUGUACCAUGUUGUCAAUUUGUUCUCUGGGCUCCCACACGCACCAAUUCUAUCGAGCCUUGUGACUUGUGAGCCUAUGAUCCAAUUUCCAAACGACGUUAUCAAUCCCCGUCCCCCCCUGCCCGUUGCCCUGUCACAUGUGACAUGGCACGACAUUGACCUCGUCCCAUCCUUCCAACUUCCAAGUUCCAACGAGUCAUCUUCGUCUCGCCUUCCGUGAAUUUUGAUUUAAAUAAUGCAAUUUCGCAAUUGAAUUUUCUUUUUCCCACUAAUUAAUUAUUCAAAUUAUAGCUCCCCUUUUUAUUGUAUUUUCAAGGACUUUUGGAAAUAUUUGUUUUUAAAAAAUAACGUUGUAAUACUCUUUUGCAACGUAAUAUAUAUAUAUAUAUAUAUAUAUAUAUAUAUAUGAUAAAAAAUUAAAAAACAUACUAAGAGAGUACACUACAAAUUUUUUUUCAAAAAAAUUAUUAAAAAAAAAAGAUCUUAGAGUUUUGCUCGAUUUCUUAAAGUUUCGUAGCUGUUUAUUGUAGCAGCAGUUCCGUAACUCUGGUUAAAAUCUAAAUAAAUGGUUAUAAUUAAAGGACCCAAAAAAAAAAAAAAACUUACCAACACGAAUAAAGUAGUGGAAAAUUCGAAGAUAUAGGGUUUGCGUCUCCUGCUUGCAUGACAUGGAACGCGAUGUUUCCUAGUGAAGAGGCUGAGUCGAAAACCUUUGUCAGCAGACUACUUUUUUGUCAGCAGACUACGCUUUUAAGAAUUACGCAUGGGACACGUAACUCCAAUCCUACGCGUUGCAGACAAAUCCUUCAUCGAUCCUUUUUGUUCGUGUAAAAGAUUCAAGAAUAUGCAAGUCAUUAUCGUCAAACCACUAAAACCUCUCGUACUCAAAAGUAGUAUUUCAAAGGAGAAAUUGAUAAAAAGAACAAUAGAAAAAGGUUAUCACAAUUGCAUGAUCACAUCGUUUUGUCAAUUACAAUACCCGGAGACUUGCUCAAGAAAUUGGUUGACUUGGGUACGGAGUUUUUCCGACUUCCGUUCCUAGAUUUGGAAUAUCUUAGCUCCUAAGGUUCGAAUUAAGCUCCCAAUAUAGGAGGAAAAGGAAAGAAUGUAGGAGUAAUAAACAAGAUUAGCGCGUCAGGCAACUUUCCACAUUGAACAAUCAUUUUAGUUAGCGCGGUUGGUACAAGUUGGCCAACCUCUAAAGUUUCAUUGGGGUAAUUACUUAGCACUAUGACUAGAGUUAUACUAUCUUAGCGUGUAUGUAUACUUUGUUUAGCUAUAGGGAGCAGUAAAGGGCUGCAGCUCCUUGCUAUAGUUUAAUUGUAAAAUUAAGGGUUAAAAACAAAAAAGUUCCCUGUGGUACACCUAAUACACAGAAAAGCCCCCCCGUAAUUUUAAAACAUACAAAACGACACCCUCAUGUUUUGAACUAAAUUGUAAACUAGCAAAAUUCGUUAAACUUAACGAAAUCCGAUAAAUUUAAUGGAAAAUUUAACGGAAUCUGGUAAACUUAACGAUAAAUUUAACGGAAUCCAAUAAAUUUAACAGUUGAGACCGUCAUUUUCGUUAACUUUAGCGAAUUCUGUUAGUUUACAAUUUAGUUCAAAACAUGAGGUGUCGUUUUGUAUGUUUUGAAAUCACGGAGGACUUUUCUGUGUAUUAGAUAUAUCACAGGAGAUUUUUUUGUUUUUAACCCUAAAAUUAAUCAUGCCUCUUCUUAAUCAUACAUGUCAAACACGUCUUUUUUUUUUUUUUUUUUUAACAUAAGUAAGAGAUUCUAAACCUGAACCAUCCACUUGUAAUUCCUUUCGACUUAUCAUCUAACUUAACCGUCCCACCACCAAGAGGGGCAUCAUUUGGUGACAGCAAAACUGAAAAAGAAUCCCACGGGUCUACCAAACAUUUUUGCGUUUUCGGACAUGAAGACAAGACGCCUUGGAAUAUCUAUUGGCGAAGCAUUAAUCAUAUCUGUUACCAUCGUCGCUUUAAACGUUGAUUGGAAUUAUUUGGGUAAGCAAGAAAGGUAGGUGAUCUUGAAUUUCUAUACGUGUAAACAUAAGAUAAUAUUAGAACAGCCCUUCACCAAAUCAAAGCAAAAAAAAUCAAAAGAUAUGGUGAUAAAAUGCUCGGCUGGGUGGAUGGGUACUUUAGCACGCUCAAAGUUUUGCCACUAUUAAUACAUAUUCCAUAAAGUGGAUCAGACAAGUGGCAAAAUUCGUCGCAAAACGAAGUGGAAAGUCGGAAGACCUUUUAAGCUGUCGAGCUUAGAAUAGUCCACUAGAUGAUUCCGCUUCUUUUAAGUUUUAACCACGAGGGUGGAUGGAUGGAUGUAUAGUACUUUUGCUUUUGCGUCUCCAGCGAUGGACUGAUUAUGAGCCGAAAAGGAUCCUUGAAAACUUUAGUGAAUAACGUCCGACUUUAAAGAAGCGCCUUUAAUGCUGGCUACAGAAGAAUGGAGCUUUAAUUCAUGUAGUAAUAGUACAUAAUUCAGCUGUUACAACUUGUAAAUAAAACCAUAAUGGAACAAACACUUUCUUAAUAAAGUUGAUCCAGACAUUUUCCCAGAAGUUGCUGACUGUCAUACAAUACCCGGAUUUUCAAGAACUCCUGCACCAGAACUAGGCCCAGCCCAGAACUUAAUAACACCACUGACAUCGGCCGCUGAUGGGUUGAGAUCUUCUCCAUUAUUUUUCUCUUUGUUUAUCUAUUCAUUUUUUUAUACUUACAUAACUAAUUUUUUGAGCAAUAAUUUGUUUGUGUCGAUAAUUUUAUUUUCACAAGUAAAUAAACAUAUUUAAAAAUCAAGCUCAUCCAUGAACGUUUUGUCAUUCAUAUCAGCUUCACAAGAAUCACAGCUACAAGUAUGGGCUUUGAAGAGAAAACACUUUUGUCCAAUAAUAAGUAAGGCCCAGUUUAGGUCCUAAAAAGGCUUAAAAGCCAUGGGUGUCGUAGACCAUUAGCAUUUCCCGAGAAUUGCUUGAAACUACGCAUUUUAAUUCGCCUUUGCCAUGCGUGAGGAAUUUGUUUGUCUUAAUAUCGUUGUGGUUUUCACUUAUUCCACGUUUGGAGCCGUCCUUUGUUUUGUUAUUAUCAUGUUUUUAUUUGAAAGAGUAACUUCUUAAUAUUUUAAUAUACAUCCAUUAAGAGAAUAUUUUAAAUUCAAAUGAUACAUAUAUAAAGUCAUUAAUGCCAUCUCAUCUAGACAUAAUGAUUAUCAUAUCUCCAUAAAAAGUUGAAUUCCCAAAAAAGACUCCAAUAUUAGAACGGAAGGAGCAGAUGGAAUAUGCACCGUUUUUUGGUGGAUAAUGGAGUACUAAUAUUUACAAAGAAUAGAGGUUAAUUGGGUCUCCCCAAUUUAACCCGCUAAAUGUCUCCAAACAAAAAAUGAUCUAAUUCAGUCGGUGGUUAACUAUUGUAGAUUCGACAUCUAAAUUUGCUCGGAGAUGUGCGUGCGCGGACACACAUUUUAAAGUCUAAUUUGAAAUCCAUGAGGCUGAGUCUUGCAAUUGGCCACGAAAGUGCAAACAUGAGGAAGCACUUUACACUAGGAAUGGUAAUGAGGCGGGGAAUCCUUCCCGUACCUCUCACUCCGCUAUUCAAACAUUCCCUCUGCCCCCUCGCUUGCUCCCUCGUCCCACCCCGCUUUCCCUUGGGGAUUACUAGAAAUUUGUCCUAUAAAGAAAAUUUAGCCAAAUUCUAGCCAACAAUCAAGUAUUUUAAAUACUAACACAUCACCAAGUCAUUGUGAAUAUAUAAUCCAUCGUAAUUUUACAAUAUUUAAUCCAAAAAAAUAAACAUAUAUAUACUAUUUGAAUAUAAUCCAGCAUAAUGAGACAAAUAUAACUCAAGUAGCAAUAAAUAAAAGUGUAAUUAGUUAUGAAUUGUUAAUUGGGAAUGAGUGAAGAGUUGAAAAAGAAUGAAAUUAGGGUUAGUCGUGAAUUGUGAAAUGUUAAGUGUAAAAGAAUAAAAAUGUAAUUAGAAAUUUAGUAUAAAUGUAUUAGUAUAACUAAUCAGUAAUUUGUAUUAGUAAUAAUAUAUAAUUAUUAGUAUAACAAAUAAAUUAAUUAUAUUACAUAUACAAAAUCUGAUAUUUAUAACUAACAAUAUAGUUAUGAUAACUAAUAAUAUUGAAUAUUAUAUAUAUAUAUAUAUAUAUAUAUAUAUAUAUAUAUAUAUGUAUUUUAGAUGGGUGACCAAACGGGUGUGUAAUCCCUCGUCCCCUGUCCAACAGAGGGAGAAAAUUAGCCCUUGCCUUAUAAUACCUGGCGAGAGCAUGCGCUACAAUUCCCAACCCUAUUUCACACUUGCUAUCCAAUAGAUUUAUACUCACCUCUGAAUUUAUACUUCACACUUGCUAUUCAAAUAUCUUUUUGGAGUCAGAUUUUUUACAUUAACACCACAUAUAGCAACGUAUUUGAAUGCAUGUUACCCGCGUAAAAGUUAUAAUUCAAAUUCAAAUAGGUAUUGAUUAUUAUGCAUUCAGACCCCCUAUUUAUAUCAUGUUAGUAUAUAAAAAAUUAUUUUCAUCUUUGCAGUGCAAAAAUAUAAGACAUAUACUUGAUAAUCCAAAGUUGAAAGCUGCCUCUUAUUUUGAUUGUCGUACAGGUUACAUUUUUUAUUAAAUGACUGCAAUGCCCUCGAACUCUUUAGUAAUGGUUCAGUUGACACCAGACGGCAUAGCCUAGCAAGAAAUCUCGUAAUCUUAUCCUCUAUUUUUCCCAACGUCCAAAAUCGCCGCUAAAUCUGACUCUUUGCCACUAAAACAAACUGAAACAAAAGAUAAAAAAAGAGAAAAGAGUACUAGAAAGAGUAAAAAUGGCAAGAGUGCUGCUCUCAAAUGCAAAUAAUCUCCUCCCAUGCUUCCAAUCACCAUCUUCCUCAACACCGUUAACAUCACUUCACCUUCACAAACAAAUCGUUAGGACUCAUCCCACCUCAUGCAAGUCAGCACUAUUGAAUCAAGAUUCUUCUUCUUCUUGUUCUGUUCUGACCACCAAGAGGAGCCUUUCCAUUAGCCUCACAACAGGGUUCCUCUUCUUUCUCUCUGGGAAAGGUUGUUCUGAUGCCAAUGCAGCUAUAUUAGAACCGGAUGAUGAUGAGGAGCUGUUGGAAAAGGUGAAGAAGGAUAGAAAGAAGAGGCUUGAGAGACAGGGUGUCCUCAAUUCAGCUGCUCAAGAGACAGGUCAACAAUCCUUCCCAAUAUUUCCUUGGAAUGUAGCCUCUAGAAAGUAUUUGCUACUUUGACUUUCAUGUCCUUUAGUUCUUUGACCUUGCUUCUUGAUUUUUUUUUCUUUUGGUUUUUGGAUAAAGUUUCGAUUAUUCUUUUCUUUCCGUAAAGUUUUGAUUUUCUUUUCUAUAUCAGUUGAAUUGACACUGCAAGGUAAAGGGAUUAAAAGACUUUAGUCUUUAAGGCUAUGGUAAAGUUGGUUGGAGAUCGUUUCUGUUUUUCUAACACAGAUAAAUUGAGUUAACAAAUUAGUUUUCUCAUAGAUCAACAAACAGUUGAAAUAUUCGUUUUUGCUGGUAAUUAGGCUGCUUUUGGAUGCCGCAUGAAGUCGAUUCCUCUUCGAAUUUAAGAGGCUUCUAUUGAAUCCUAGUCAUUCUUAUUGAAACAUUUCAUGUCAUCGCAAAACUCAAAAUUGGGGUAGGAAUGUGGAGAGACUUGAUUAUGGUUACUUUCAUAGGUGGUGAAUUACAGUUUAGCCUGCAUUUGCUACUACCUCUUGGCAGUUGGCAAUCUGCAAGAAUCUCUUCAGCAAGUAUAGUUGUGAGAAGAAGGGUAAUUACAAGCUUCUGCAGAAUCCUGACUUUUGUAACCUAAAUUUAUGCUGUCGAACAUAGCAUAAUUUACACUGCAAAUUUCUCCAAGAUUUUACUGCAAUAAAACCAACUUUGGAGGUACGAGGAUCCAAUUACCUUAAGUAAUUUGCUGGGCAGUAAAAAAGGAUAAUUUUUGUCCUAAAGGUUAGCUAUGAUCAUCUAUUGCAAAUAUUAUAUGCUUCCUGUUGGUUUCUCUGUGACAUUUUAUGGAUUGCAGAUUAGAAUGACUAGGAAAGUUCAGUAUGGAACAUUGGAGAAGAAUAAUUUGGGCUUACUAAAUCAAGCUUCAAGAAAAUUUUAAGUUACCAAAUGCUGUUUGCCUGCCCUAAGAUAACAUAAAAGCUAAAACAAUUGCGUGUAAUUAAGAGGGAGCGGGGGAACCUAUUUGCCUUCCUAGAUUGCUUUUGGUUGGAAUUCACCUGUAUAUGGAAAUAAUUGGUUUGCACUGACAGAUAAACAUGAUAGAGAAAAGGUCAAGCCUGGCGACAGAGAUCCCUUAGUUAUUUAAUGUACCAGAUCUAUUUUGUUAAUGACUUAUACAAUAGUAGUGAUCUAGAAUCAACUUAUAUGAAUUACUGUCCCUUAUACGGAAAAUCUAGUUAGUUGAAGCCGUUUGGCACAAGUGCUUUCACUCAUGAUGUAAGCGCAAAUACUCAGAAACUUUUACCCCAGCUGAACUGGUUUCUCACUGACUGGCAUGUAUCACCAGUGAACAUGAGAAAGCUUGGCUGUGUUUAACUAUGCAUUCUAAGAUCUAAUGGAUACUUAUCAAUAACAACCGUGCCACUCUUGGUUAUGUUACUAUCUUCAUGGAGUUGAAAAUUAUGAUCAAAGAUUACCGUUUGUGGGUUUACUUGUCCCUCAUGAAAGCAGGCACAUAAAUUUCAUUCAAGGGAUAGUGCUGCAUGCCAGUAAUAUUAUUAGCCAAGAUCUGAAUAGCUUUCAUAGUUGCUACAUCAGUCAACUGGAUUCUAUUAUUUGAUGUAAAUUUCCUUUUGCCCAUGCCCCUUGUAUUUUGUUUUAGCACAUAAUUGUGCUCCUAAUAUGCUUAUCUUCAUUCUUAGCUUGAAUUAAGUCCUUGGCGUGAAGUAAACUGAUGCCCUUAAAGCAUGACCUGAAUGUCGCAUUACGCUCUGAGCUUUUGGUCUCUGUCAUUUCUGGGAAUUGAUUAGCUAUUCUUUUUUAAUGCUGCAGGAUACUUGCAAGAGCUCGUUUACAAGCUCAGCAGAGUAGGCCAGGCAAUAGAGAAGAAUGAUCUUUCAACGGCUAGGUCAGUUCUUGGUCAAAGCAGUGAUACUGAUUGGGUACAAAAAGUUAAGUCAGCUUUCAAGAAGGUAUCCUAUAGAUAAUAAUACUGUACAUGCCUUACUGUGUAGAUCUUGUCUAUAUGCAUUUCCAUGCGUUAAUUGCCUAUCUUCCUGCAGUUGAGCUCUAGCCCUGAGGAGAAAUCCGAAGUAGAGACUUUUAGCUCCGCACUUGAUUCUUUAAUUUCAUCAGGUAUGUUCUGUGUGUUUGCAAGCGUGUUCAUCUUGGUUCCCAGCAAAGGGUUGUGACUUAUGCAUGAAAACUAGUUUGCAUUGUGCAUGCAAUUAAUAUUGAGUGGUGAAAUAGUUUCAUUUGUUGCUCUGAGAGAGCAAUUGAUCUGUAAUUUGCAGUGACUAAGAAUGAUAUUGAAGCAUCUAAAACAGCAUUUGUGGCAUCAGCAUCUGCUUUUGAAAAAUGGACAACCUUAACAGGGUUGGUUGAAAAGCUUAAGGGGCUUUGAAGAAAAUCAAUCUGGCCAGAGAGUUCCAGCAAUACCCCCAGAAUGCUUCACUAGCUUGCUUCUGGCUCUAACUCUAGCUGGUUGACUGCUGUCAUUAAUGAUCGCAAAAUUCUUUUAAUUCCAUGAGCUGUAUUAACUUCUCCAGCUUUAUGGUUAAGUGUUAAUGACAUUGAAAAUUUAGAUGUAAUUAUUCUUUGAAACCACCUCGACCACGCAAUUAAUUGAAUCAUUUCACAUAUUUGCGAUUCAAUGACCUUGGUUCUAUUGAAGUUGUUUCCUUUUUCUUUUGCGGUUGACUAAUUGGUGUUCGCCUCAACCUUGAACGGAAAUUUGGAAUAAAUGGCGCAUGUUGACAGUCACUGCCUUUCUCUUUUGCAUGAUUAACUAAGGGAUGAACCACUUCUUUACGAAAGAUCGCGUAUUUAAAUUUUACGAUGCAAUGUAAGUUUUAUGUUGGUGGACCAUCCGUAAGAAUUCCUAUAUGCGGUGCGUCCUAAUCCAUGGUGACUACUAGGGUGGAACCAUCCAAAUUUUUUGUAUAUUAAAAAAAAAAGUCUUAUCAAGUAGUAAUACCCCAAAAAAGUGGGGGACCAAUUCUUUUUGGGCACUCAGUCGCUAUGCAUCUCAUGGCCUUUUAACUAGCUCAACACUUUCUGCAACGUUUAGACACCCAUCUCCCAUUGGUAUCAAAACUUUAACUGAAACAGCGAUGCUGACUGCCUGAAGAAGCUUGUCAAAGAGGAGCCAGCUCAUCUUAAUCACCUCAAAAAACUGCUGCAAAACAACUAACCUACUGAUAUCCGUAAGCUUGCGAGCCAAGGAAACUCGAGUAACUGAAGAUGACUUAUUAUAUCAUUACAUAGACACAGUUCUGAUCGACAUGUUACAGAGAUCUAUGCAACCUACAAUUCCUUCAAUGCAAGGAAGGUUGGAAUGUUGAAGGCCUACUCUAUAAUGUAAGGUAGUAAUGUUACAAAGAUCUCAGUCACUACACGUUCAACGAAAGACAGCAGCGACAUUAACCUGCUAAUCUAUGAUUUUACAUACUACAGAUGUCUCAUGAACAAUCGGAGUAUCUAUUACUCAACAACAACACUACUGUCAUUCAAAAGAAGCCACCAGCCUAUGAAGGUCAGAACAAGAUAUUACAU